GAAAAUUGUAUGACCGAUCAAGCGUACCAACUUAAAAACAAUGAUAGUUUGUGUAAUGUCACCGAUAGAACACCUUUUGGCGAAGAUAUAUGUUAUCUGUGGUUAAAUUAUUUUCUCUAAUCUAUGUCAUGCUUACCGCUAAUCCGCUUGUUCGCGAAAAAAUGGCAGAUCCGUUUUUGUUUUCUUUAGCUCAUUAUUAAUUACGUGAUCUACAACUAGAAUUAUUUAAAUAUUCGCUUUAUUUUAAUCUGCUUAAACAAUACGACAGGCAAUUCUGCGCCGACGCCGGUCAUGAACCGUCCAUAUUCGCCAUUUUGUCAUUUAGCAAACUAAGAAAAUGCAAACAAAACAUUAUUUGCCCUAAACACGCGUUACUUCUAAAUAAUUUUGUCGACAAAGUGAGCCUGUUUUAUCAAAUUGAACUCUGAACUGCAAUUGCAAUGUAAUUUUCCGUUAGCGAAAGUGAGGUUACGAAAUUGACAUGACAUUAUUGUUGGAAAAAAAAACGUGAAUGCAAUGGACAUGUGUUUUGUUGUGUUUCUCAUCAAGAUAAUAGAAGAAUUUAGUGCUCAUACUCAUGAUCUAAUGAGCAAACAGCCCAUGUAAAGGAUGUCUUAACGGGCCAUGUCUCUACUAAUAAAGUGAACAAUUGCCUUCUCCAAAAGCAGCUUUGCAAGAAAGUCAACAUCUAAUUGGAACUCACAAUGCCCGACACCUCCACACAUCUGCCACAAAUUCCAUGGAAAACAAUACCCACAGAAACUGAACAUACCUUGGUUAACCGUAUAUGAAAUGGGUAACCAUCCUCGAAGAACAUCAACCAGCCGUCGGCAAUGUGCAGGUGGACUGAGGAAUUUUCCGGUGUGUCUUUUUAUGGACUGUACUCCGUCUUAGCACAAUUCCCAAGUAAGUACAAAAAAUCA
rnacentral:lncRNA from 1 species